GAUGAACGCUGGCGGCGUGCCUAAUACAUGCAAGUCGAGCGAACGGACGAGAAGCUUGCUUCUCUGAUGUUAGCGGCGGACGGGUGAGUAACACGUGGAUAACCUACCUAUAAGACUGGGAUAACUUCGGGAAACCGGAGCUAAUACCGGAUAAUAUUUUGAGCCGCAUGGUUCAAAAGUGAAAGACGGUCUUGCUGUCACUUAUAGAUGGAUCCGCGCUGCAUUAGCUAGUUGGUAAGGUAACGGCUUACCGAGGCAACGAUGCAUAGCCGACCUGAGAGGGUGAUCGGCCACACUGGAACUGAGACACGGUCCAGACUCCUACGGGAGGCAGCAGUAGGGAAUCUUCCGCAAUGGGCGAAAGCCUGACGGAGCAACGCCGCGUGAGUGAUGAAGGUCUUCGGAUCGUAAAACUCUGUUAUUAGGGAAGAACAUAUGUGUAAGUAACUGUGCACAUCUUGACGGUACCUAAUCAGAAAGCCACGGCUAACUACGUG
rnacentral:rRNA from 1 species